UGAACAGUAAUAAGUUUGUGAUAAGUCAGU
rnacentral:piRNA from 1 species